CUUUCAUUCUUCCAUUUUUAUUUGAAGAGUGUGGGUCCCUUCGGGCUCGGUCUGUGCCUAGGAUGCUGCCGUGACUUGUGAGCUAAGGCAGGGAUGCUGUGGUGGAGGAGGGGAGGGCUGCAAACCCCCUUCCUCUCCCAUCCCCAUCCCCAGUGCAGCACGACCUUGCCACGGACGAAAAGCAAGCGCUCGGUGUGACUCAAGAAGGAAGACUUCAGCGUGAGGCUCUAAGACUGAUGAAUCCACAGGAACAGCAGUUCUAACAGGCGACUGCUCCAUUUUCAUCCUGUUCCAGCGUCUCUUUGCAGAGCAUCUCCCACCCACACAUCACAAUGCUGCUAUUCUGAUGACCAUCUGCAUGAAAGAUUAGCAGAAGACUUGAAUGAGCUGACGUGUUUCUUGCUCAGCACCAGCCUUUUCACCACUGGGGUGAAAACGCUAGCUCCAUCAGCCCACACCAAGGGGUUUUCCUGGCUCUGGCUGCUGUGCUGGUGGAUGCAGUGGAACGGCUUCUCCUGCUCUCACCUUACGGCUUGCAGCAUCCCUACCACUGUGAAUGGGGGAACGAAUGGUCACAGCAUUGCAGCUCAUCCCUGCCCCUUUUAGCGAAUUUGUCCUUGUGGGAGACUGUGUCAAUGUGUCAAUGCCAAUUUUUUAUAACCAGACAAAAACCUAAGGUAGAGCCAUGCCACUAACUCUCGGUGAAUUCAGUGCUUUAUAGAAUUAAUUUUAAAAUAUUCUGCUUUGUUACUGUUAAAGCAACUCUACCUGCUUUAGGUUCUCUCUUCAGUAAAGCGCCUAAAAAUGAGUUAUACCUCUUAAAUAAUUUUGAAAGAGUAAAAAAAUAAUGUUUAAAUAUA